rnacentral:RNase_P_RNA from 1 species
GAAGCUGACCAGACAGUCGCCGCUUCGUCGUCGUCCUUUCGGGGAGACGGGCGGAGGGGAGGAAAGUCCGGGCUCCAUAGGGCAGGGUGCCAGGUAACGCCUGGGGGGGAAACCCACGACCAGUGCAACAGAGAGCAAACCGCCGAUGGCCCACGUAAGUGGGAUCAGGUAAGGGUGAAAGGGUGCGGUAAGAGCGCACCGCGCGGCUGGUAACAGUCCGUGGCACGGUAAACUCCACCCGGAGCAAGGCCAAAUAGGGGUUCAUAAGGUACAGCCCGUACUGAACCCGGGUAGGCUGCUUGAGCCAGUGAGCGAUUGCUGGCCUAGAUGAAUGACUGUCCACGACAGAACCCGGCUUAUCGGUCAGUUUCACUU